UUAACCCUUUAGUUGCUGCAAGUGCCCAGGAUGGAUUGUGGAAAGAUGUUUGGCAUCAUCUUCCAGGACUUCAAGAGUUAACAGAUACUUGAAUGAACAAAUAUUUUCCCACACAUUCUAUAAUCUGAGAAUGCCUUGCAGCAUCUUCAUAAACAUUGUAAACCUAUGACUAUUCUUUUAAGAACUAAACCGUUAUGUCUCAGCAAUUCUCUAUAAAAACUCCAAGAGCUUUGAGAACAAAAGCAACAGAACAGCUUUGCAGUUCAUGAGUUACUGAAUGAGCAGUUCUGCCUCUGAUUUAAAGCACUAGCUUUCCUUUUAACUGCUUUUUUCUCCACAUCUGCAGAAAACUUAUGAGUGUACUGCAUAAGGUAAACAGUAUUGCUGCCAUAAUGCCAUUGUUUCUUGAAAGAAACACUAGUUCACUGAAAUCUUAAGUGGCUCCUUUCUAUUUGGGGUUGGUUUAAAUUUAUUAUUAAAUCACAAGCAAGGUUUAAGCAUGGGUUAUAUAAAACUGGAGGUACUAAAUUUUUUGUAUGAAUGCCAAAGCAUGUUGUUUACCUUAUUUAUUUUAUUUUUUUUAUAUAUCAUAUAUAUCAUCAUAUAUAGUUCGUAAGUGAGCCUUUCCGUGCAGCAUAACUGUAUUUGACUCCCAAUUAUCAAAGCAUUGCCCUUUUUCUUUUACAGAAGGGGAGAGACAAGCAUAUGAUUAAACUGGCUGGUAGACUUAAAUGCAAAAUGUACUGUAGAUGCCCUGUUUGUUUUCUCUGUUAGAACUUCACAGAAAAAUCAUACUAUGGAAAAAAAAAUGUAUGAACUCAAUACAUAAAACCUUCAUCAUAUAGACAUGCAUAGAUCGCUCCCACUAAUACACAGAGAAAAGGAUUUUUGGAAAUAAUGCAUUUGUCUAACAAUGAUUAUCUGCUUGAGACAGCUCUAUAAAUUCAAUCCUUUUCUUUAGGGGAAAGCAUUUGCAAAGAACUAUAGGGAGUAAGAUUCGGAAUAAAAGGCAAAGAGAAAGAUGGCUGUAAUUGUAAUAUCCUGAGAUUUGCUGAGCCCAAAAGUCUGUCUAUUGAGCCACUUUCACAGGAUUGUCGCUGUCUCUCUGCAGGAAACAUAAAAUCUGAUCAAGUUCAGAGACGCAUUGGGAGACUGCUUCAAGCAGUGCUUUAUAACUGCAGUCUUUUCACAACCUUCCCCCAAUCAGCCCAAGGAAAGACUUCACAUUCUUUAUUUUAGAGUUUUGCUUAAAAAAAAAAACUCCACCCCUAUAAAAAUCAGCUUCAGUAGUAAAACCAUCUUCCAUCAAAAUUCAUGCUACAUAUCUACCAAGAACACACUAAAAGUUAAAGAAUGGUAAAAAACAAGAUGAAGAAGGCAGAUCCAAGGACAGAUCAUCUUUCAACAGCGUCACUGCACCUGUCUCAGUUUGCAUGCUUAGUAAGCUAUUACAGAUUAAACAUAAUCAUACCACGUUCUGUCUUUCCAACCCGUAAGACUGCCUGAACUUUGGCUGUGAAACUACAUAAGUUUAAAGACAUAUUCUUUGAUCUUUAAAACGACGAUGAGACAGGAAACAUCUUUUUUUGUACUGUUCACAAGUAUGUUUUAUAAUUCAGAGUUCUGACUUGUUUUCUAAUGUUACUGCAUGUUUAAUAAUCUAUUUCAUCUAGAGUAUAUAUGGAUUUGUAUAAUUUCCACGCAAUCAAAGAAUUGCUUUUUUAUGUGUGACUGUGCCACAUAUCAAGCACUUUUUUUACUGUAUCUGGUUGCCAACCACGUAAUAAUUAUGCUAAUAUUUGUCAAGCUAUAAGGCAUUUCAUAUGAAAUUAUAUUUUCUGAAAGUAAAGUUAAAGAUUCUGCAGUCUU